rnacentral:rRNA from 1 species
CACGUAGGGCGCAAGCGUUGUCCGGAAUUAUUGGGCGUAAAGAGCUCGUAGGCGGUCUGUUACGUCUGCUGUGAAAACCCAGGGCUUAACCCUGGGCUUGCAGUGGAUACGGGCAGACUAGAGGCAGGUAGGGGAGAAUGGAAUUCCCGGUGUAGCGGUGAAAUGCGCAGAUAUCGGGAGGAACACCGGUGGCGAAGGCGGGUCUCUGGGCCAUAACUGACGCUGAGAAGCGAAAGCAUGGGGAGCGAACAGG